rnacentral:lncRNA from 1 species
GUGUAAUACUUGCUCUAAGUUUCGUGGGUUUUGGUUUGUGUUUGUUGACAAGGGGUUUUGCCACGUCAUCGGCAGGGUAAAUUUUGGGUGGUUUGACGGCCGGUGGUGCAACGGCGGCGGCUUUUUUGUGGACGGGGAAAGAGCCGCCGUUUUUCUUCUUGAUUGCCCAUAGACCCUUUUUGUGAUACAUCUUGGAACGGGAAAGUUUUCCCACUCCACGAAUCAGCUCUGGAUUGCGGGGACUCUUCUUUGCGGCCAUUGUUGAAAGUUGAAGCUGUCCU